rnacentral:rRNA from 1 species
AGUCGACGGGUGUAGCAUACACUAGUGGCGGACGGGUGAGUAAUACCUAGGAAUCUACCCAGAAGUGUGGAAUAACACCGCGAAAGCGGUGCUAAUACCGCAUGUGAAUGCAAAUUCAAAGCUCGUAACUGAGCGCUUUUGGAGGAGCCUAGUUCCCAUCAGCUUGUUGGUAGGGUAAAAGCCUACCAAGGCUAUGACGGGUAGCUGGUCUGAGAGGAUGAUCAGCCACAAUGGCACUGAGACACGGGCCAUACAUCUACGGAUGGCAGCAACUGGGAAUCUUUGGCAAUGGGCGAAAGCCUGACCAAGCGACGCCGCGUUGAGGACGAAGGCCUUCGGGUUGUAAACUCCUUUUGUCCCGACACCACGUCGGGGAGAAUAAGCACCUGCUAACUACGUGCCAGCAGCCGCGGUGAUACGUAGGGUGCAAGCGUUACCCGGAUUUAUUGGGCGUAAAGAGUGCGUAGGCGGUUUUGAAAGUCAUUAUUGAAAUCUUAGGGCUCAACCCUAAACUUGGUAGUGAUACUUCAAGACUGGAUUACUUGAGGGGGUACCGGAACAGUUGGUGGAGCAGUGAAAUGCGUUGAUAUCAACUGGAACACCAAAGGCGAAGGCAGGUACCUGGCAAGUCAAUGACGCUGUUGCACGAAAGCGUGGGGAGCAAAACGGAUUAGAUACCCGUGUAGUCCACGCUGUAAACGAUGGACACUAGAUAUUGGAGUGGUUGACGCUUCAGUGUCGCAAGCUAACGCGUUAAGUGUCCCGCCUGGGGAGUACGGCCGCAGGCUAAACUCAAAGGAAUUGACGGACCCGCACAAGUAGGGGAACGUGUGGUUCAUUCGAGACUAAACGACAACCUACAUCAGG